GACGAACGCUGGCGGCGUGCUUAACACAUGCAAGUCGAACGGAAAGGCCCUGCUCUUGUUGGGUGCUCGAGUGGCGAACGCGUGAGUAACACGCGAGUAACCUGCCCCUGACUUUGGGAUAACUUCUGGAAACUGGGGCUAAUAUCGGAUAGGAGCUCCUGCUGCAUGGUGUGGGUUGGAAAGUUUCGGCGGUUGGGGAUGGACUCGCGGGUUCGCAGCUUGUUGGUGGGGUAGUGGCUUACCAAGGCUUCGACGGGUAGCCGGCCUGAGAGGGUGACCGGCCACAUAGGGACUGAGAUACGGCGCAGACUGCAACGGGAGGAAGCAGUGGAAAGUAUUGCGCAAUGGGCGGAAGCCUGAUGCAACAACGCCGCGUGCGAGAUAACGGGCUGCGGGUUAUAAACCGCUUUCGCCUGUGACGAAGAGUGAGUGACGGUAAUGGGUAAAGAAGCACCGGCUAACUACGUG
rnacentral:rRNA from 1 species